rfam:Elusimicrobia bacterium RIFOXYD2_FTLL_34_15 rifoxyd2_full_scaffold_993, whole genome shotgun sequence.
AACCCGAAAGGGCAACUCCAGAGAAAUCUGGAUGAGUGCGCAAAACAAUGGGUCCCAAGAAAUUGGGAUAGCCAGGUUACCGAA